UCACUGAUGCCUAGUAUGGAGAUGUCAU
rnacentral:sRNA from 1 species